CUUCGUGACUUAGGAAGAUGUUGACCCACCAUGGAUGUGAACGAUCCCUCCCCUAUAGGCCUGAUGGACACUUUAAAACAGCCAUCGACGAAAAGAGAGGAAGGUUGGCAUACCGCUUGCGUUCGCCGAGCGACACUUAGUAAUCUCAUCUCGUCGAGGUGAGCUUGUGUCGAUUUAGAAUAGGAUUACCAUCGAGCAUGGACAGACGGUGGCUUUUUGAAAAAUCGCUGUUUGGUAACAGUUUAAAACUGACAGACCGUGUUCACAAACUAUGAACAGCUUAAGACCUUGCGUCUUCCACAACGACGUCGUCGACAACAACACCGUCCAUGAAACUGCCUACAUCUACCGAGCAAUAUCUCCGUCCGAUCAGUCACUGUUUGGACAUUCAUUGCAGCCGGCGACAGUACCAGGUCUAUAUGCCACGCAUAUAUUCUCCCAGGCAGACAACUCGCAGCCAUUAGGUGGCGAUUAGCCAGUCUUAACGAGGAGCUAUAUUAUUGACAAAAUAUUUCAUCAUCCCAGGUUCCCAAGACAUACGUGAUGGAAAGGUUUCUUGAAAUUAAUUGGGAUAUAUGUAUGUAUCGACAAUCCUUAAGACCUUCAUGGUUCAACGUUGGCGUGGUGAAGUUGUGGUUGCUUUCAAAGGCGAGCAUUUACCGCUGACUUCAGUCGCUGAGGUGUUUGGUAACUAAGAUAAUGACGUUCGCGAGAGAAGAACCCGAGCUGACUGUAAACAAGGAUGAUCUAUAGAUUUAAGGGGAGGUCGGGUAGCCUAGUGGUUAAAGCGUUCGCUCGUCACGCCGAAGACCCGGGUUCGAUUCCCGACAUGGGUACAAUGUUUGAAGCCCAUUUCUGGUGUCCCCCUCCGUGAUAUUGCUGGGAUAUUGCUAAAAGCGGCGUAAAACCAUAUUCACUCACUCACUCUAUAAAUUUAAACAAUUCAUCAAGUGAGGUGUAACAUGCCAGUUUCAUUGGAUGACUAUAACGGGAUCGGGUUGUCAGGCUCGCUGGCUUGGUUGAUGCAUGUCAUCGAUUCCAAUUGCGUGGAUCGAUGCUCAUGAUAUCAAUCACUGGAUUGUCUGGUCCAGACUCGAUUAUUUAUAGCUGGAAUAUUGCUGAGUGCGGCGUUAAACAACCAACCAACCAUUGGAUGACUAGAGAAAUACUGCCGGUGUAAACUGUCAUAAUGUACGCGUGAUUUAAGGUCACUUGCACGUUCAUGUCGUCGGACAAAAGAGUCAGACAAUAGUGCUGGCUAGGAAUAAAUGUCCUUUGUGCAACUUUGUAUAUUGGUCUGCUUGUGUCUGUCA